CACGCAGGCGGACUGAUAAGUCGGGGGGUGAAAGCCCGGGGGCUCAACCUCGGAACUGCCUUCGAUACUGCCAGUCUUGAGUCCGGGAGAGGUGAGUGGAAUUCCUAGUGUAGAGGUGAAAUUCGUAGAUAUUAGGAAGAACACCAGUGGCGAAGGCGACUCACUGGCCCGGUACUGACGCUCAGGUGCGAAAGCGUAGGGAGCAAACAGGAUUAGAUACCCUGGUAGUCCACGCCGUAAACGAUGGAUGCUAGCCGUUGGGCAGCUUGCUGUUCAGUGGCGCAGCUAACGCUUUAAGCAUCCCGCCUGGGGAGUACGGCCGCAAGGUUAAA
rnacentral:rRNA from 1 species